UGGGCUCCCGACGCUCGCGGGAGCAGCGGGAAACCAGGUUCCGGGAGUGGGGCGAGGACGCCCCUGCCAAGCCCCUUUUACGUCCCGGCGGUCGCGAGGAGGUCCCCCGGGCGCGAAGAAGACGCCAGCCCACCCCAGCCGCCGGGGAGAUCGCCCAGGCCGCGCUCAGCCCCGCCCCUGGCUCUGCCCCCGCCGCGGAGCGGAACCCUCCAAGUCGCGGCCUGAGGAGGAAGGAAAAGGGGGCGGCCCGGGAGAGCCGCUGCGAAAUCAGCAACGGGCGGGAACCAGGUUGCCUCCCUGAGUCCCUUCUCUCCCCGGCCGGCUGCCAACCACAGCCAAGGCCAGAGAAACAGGCCCUUCUGCCGCGGCCACCUGGGCGCCUUGGACCCGCCCUCCGGACUCGCCCCCGCCCCUGCCGCGGAGUGGAACGUUUGGAACCCUGAGGGGCACAGCUCCUCUAGCAAUUCCGAUGUGAAAAGAAGAUGGAUGGAGAAGCACUGAUUCAGCCAUGGCUGACAUGUCGGAGUUGGAAUGGACAGUGCCCGGACCUCACAGUCUCAGAGAACUGGAGAAGAGUAAAGCUGAAGAGGGCAUCAUCUGGUUACAAAUGACAAGUCCAGGGCUCCAGAACUCAGGCCAUGUAGAGAGGCCACAUGGGAACUGAGGUUCCUAGUCCUCAGCUUCCACUGAGCUCCCAGCCAACAGCCAGCAAUAACUUGCCAGAUGUGUGCACAGGCCAUCCUGGAAGCAGAGGAUCCAGCCCUCAGCCAAGAUGCCCCAGUUGAUUCCAUGUGAACUAGGAAUGAGCCCUCCUGCUGAGCUCUGCCCAAAUUACAGAUCUGUGAGCAAACUAAAUGACAGUUGUAUUAAGCUACACAGAAAUAGAUAACUGGAAUACCACCCAUGUCUUUCUUUCCAAACUUAGUUAACUGAGUCUGAGCUAAAGAGAAUUCACACUGUAUAUCUUAUAUUGAAUACCCACUAUAUCUGGGGCAUGAUUGCUAAUAAUCCUCACAAUAGCCCUACAAUAGGAAACGAUCAUCCUCAUUUCACAGAUGGAGAGUUUAAUGGUAAGCCUGAACUCAGACUCAGACUUGUUUGACUUGAGAGCCCAUACCUCUUUCACUAAGCCAUACCAUCUCCAUUCACUCUAUGCUGUCUGGCCACCUGAGAGGCUGUCUGUAAGUCUAUCUCCUUAUUAACCCAUCAUUCCUGCUACUUCCAUGAUAAUCGGCAAGGCUGAAUGAUAGCUCUCAGUUCUAUGGGGUCUUUCCAGGAGAAGGGCCAAAGAGGAGUGGUUGAUCACAAAGUCAUCGGCACAAAAAGAUGGUGGCCAAGCUACAGUCCUGCAUGGCACAUGAGCCAGAUGAUCAAGUAAUGAAAGCUAUGCUAAGAAAUGUGGGCUUUAUCUUGUGGAGAAGGAGAUGCAGUAGAGGCUUUUUAAGGUACAUUUCAGAACAAUUAUUAUUUUUAUAUUUAUUAUAUAUUAUUUAUAUAUAUAAAACCACAAAUUAUAUGCUACAUAUA
rnacentral:lncRNA from 1 species